UACGUAGGUGGCAAGCGUUGUCCGGAAUUAUUGGGCGUAAAGCGCGCGCAGGCGGUCCUUUAAGUCUGAUGUGAAAGCCCACGGCUCAACCGUGGAGGGUCAUUGGAAAACUGGGGGGACUUGAGUGCAGAAGAGGAAAGCGGAAUUCCACGUGUAGCGGUGAAAUGCGUAGAGAUGUGGAGGAACACCGGUGGCGAAGGCGGCCUUCUGGACAGUGACUGACGCUGAGACGCGAAAGCGUGGGGAGCAAACAGG
rnacentral:rRNA from 1 species